rnacentral:rRNA from 1 species
CCCUUAGAUGUUCUGGGCCGCACACGCGCUACACUGAAGGAGGCAGCGUGUACUCCUGGAUCGAAAGAUUUGGGUAACCCGCGAAUCUCCUUCGUGCUAGGGAUUGAGGUUUGCAAUUAUCCUUCAUGAACGAGGAAUUCCCAGUAAGUGCAAGUCAUAAGCUUGCGCUGACUACGUCCCUGCCCUUUGUACACACCGCCCGUCGCUACUACCGAUUGAAUGAUUUAGUGAGGACUUCGGACUGGGACCGAUGCGGCUUUCGGGCUGCGUCGGUAUUCUGGAAAGAUGUCCAAACUGUAUCAUUUAGAGGAAGGUGAAGUCGUAACA